GUUUUGAUUAAUUAUGCAAGGUCGUCUAAAGAGGCAGAAGAAGUUUGUAAAGAGGUGAACUUGGAUGCGUUUGCAAUGUUUCAUUUGAGUCAGAUUGCAGUUGAGUGCAGAAUUAUCAUGGAACUUGCAAUUCCGUGAGAGAAACCGGGCUCACGAGUGUUUGAAAGAUUCACAGUGGGCUAUCAUCCACGGUCAUGAGAAAUUGUAUACAACGUUAUGACUCAAUGCGGUUACGAAAAAGCUUACAAGGACUACAGCUUUGACACGGACCAGAGUCGUGUAUCUCUUUGUAUAUGACUGCAGUUGCUUCUCUUUCUCAAUUACUUCAAAAACCAACUGUUACGGUUUCUCCUAAGACCGGGUUGGAGGUUACUUUGUCUAACUCCGCUGCAACAGGGAGUCGACCGACAACUUUGUCUCCAACGUUGUUGAAUAUCGAUCACAAAUGUACAAAAUCUUCUAUUGCUAUAUUUUAGAGGUCAAAAUGGGUUAUUACGGGUCGAGGCGUGUUUCCCAGACACUUCUCUUAAAGUAUAAUCAUUUAUAAACAAACUGUGUGUAAAAUAAUAAUGUAAUAUAGGAGCCCUUGUGCAUUAAAAGCU